GGUCCUGAACAGUGAUGAUCUCAUAACCCUGGGGCCUCCGGACGCCGUGUCUUCUGCGUAGGCGAAUUCCUCGUGUCCCGGCUGCGCUGGUGCUCAGGUUAUAUAGGCGAGGGAGGAGAGAGGAAGGAAAGAAGACGACGGGCAAGGGAAAGGAAAGAAAAGGAAGAAAAAAGGAAGAAGAGCUCGACUAAUCCGGGUUUACUCUUUCUCCCCUAGGUUCUCUUUUAAUCCUCCAUUAACUUCUUACUCCCUGGAAAACCUGAAGCCCUUCUCAAUGAAUGCAUCUGACUUGAAUUGCUUAUUAAAGGCAAUUGCCCUAAAUGUCC